rnacentral:rRNA from 1 species
UAGGGAAUCUUCGGCAAUGGACGGAAGUCUGACCGAGCAACGCCGCGUGAGUGAAGAAGGUUUUCGGAUCGUAAAGCUCUGUUGUAAGAGUAGAACGAGUGUGAGAGUGGAAAGUUCACACUGUGACGGUAUCUUACCAGAAAGGGACGGCUAACUACGUGCCAGCAGCCGCGGUAAUACGUAGGUCCCGAGCGUUGUCCGGAUUUAUUGGGCGUAAAGCGAGCGCAGGCGGUUAGAUAAGUCUGAAGUUAAAGGCUGUGGCUUAACCAUAGUAGGCUUUGGAAACUGUUUAACUUGAGUGCAAGAGGGGAGAGUGGAAUUCCAUGUGUAGCGGUGAAAUGCGUAGAUAUAUGGAGGAACACCGGUGGCGAAAGCGGCUCUCUGGCUUGUAACUGACGCUGAGGCUCGAAAGCGUGGGGAGCAAACAGGAUUAGAUACCCUGGUAGUCCACGCCGUAAACGAUGAGUGCUAGGUGUUAGACCCUUUCCGGGGUUUAGUGCCGCAGCUAACGCAUUAAGCACUCCGCCUGGGGAGUACGACCGCAAGGUU